UACAGAGGGGGCAAGCGUUGUUCGGAAUUACUGGGCGUAAAGGGCGCGUAGGCGGCCUGUUAAGUCGAACGUGAAAUCCCCGGGCUCAACCCGGGAACUGCGUCCGAUACUGGCAGGCUUGAAUCCGGGAGAGGGAUGCGGAAUUCCAGGUGUAGCGGUGAAAUGCGUAGAUAUCAGGAGGAACACCUGUGGUGUAGACAGCUUACUGGACCAUUACUGACACUGAGACACGAAAGCGUGGGUAGC
rnacentral:rRNA from 1 species